UGGCGGCAGGCCUAACACAUGCAAGUCGAGCGGUAGCACAGAGAGCUUGCUCUCGGGUGACGAGCGGCGGACGGGUGAGUAAUGUCUGGGAAACUGCCUGAUGGAGGGGGAUAACUACUGGAAACGGUAGCUAAUACCGCAUAAUGUCGCAAGACCAAAGUGGGGGACCUUCGGGCCUCAUGCCAUCAGAUGUGCCCAGAUGGGAUUAGCUAGUAGGUGGGGUAACGGCUCACCUAGGCGACGAUCCCUAGCUGGUCUGAGAGGAUGACCAGCCACACUGGAACUGAGACACGGUCCAGACUCCUACGGGAGGCAGCAGUGGGGAAUAUUGCACAAUGGGCGCAAGCCUGAUGCAGCCAUGCCGCGUGUGUGAAGAAGGCCUUCGGGUUGUAAAGCACUUUCAGCGGGGAGGAAGGCGUUAAGGUUAAUAACCUUGGCGAUUGACGUUACCCGCAGAAGAAGCACCGGCUAACUCCGUGCCAGCAGCCGCGGUAAUACGGAGGGUGCAAGCGUUAAUCGGAAUUACUGGGCGUAAAGCGCACGCAGGCGGUCUGUCAAGUCGGAUGUGAAAUCCCCGGGCUCAACCUGGGAACUGCAUUCGAAACUGGCAGGCUAGAGUCUUGUAGAGGGGGGUAGAAUUCCAGGUGUAGCGGUGAAAUGCGUAGAGAUCUGGAGGAAUACCGGUGGCGAAGGCGGCCCCCUGGACAAAGACUGACGCUCAGGUGCGAAAGCGUGGGGAGCAAACAGGAUUAGAUACCCUGGUAGUCCACGCCGUAAACGAUGUCGAUUUGGAGGUUGUGCCCUUGAGGCGUGGCUUCCGGAGCUAACGCGUUAAAUCGACCGCCUGGGGAGUACGGCCGCAAGGUUAAAACUCAAAUGAAUUGACGGGGGCCCGCACAAGCGGUGGAGCAUGUGGUUUAAUUCGAUGCAACGCGAAGAACCUUACCUGGUCUUGGCAUCCACAGAACUUUCCAGAGAUGGAUUGGUGCCUUCGGGAACUGUGAGACAGGUGCUGCAUGGCUGUCGUCAGCUCGUGUUGUGAAAUGUUGGGUUAAGUCCCGCAACGAGCGCAACCCUUAUCCUUUGUUGCCAGCGGUUAGGCCGGGAACUCAAAGGAGACUGCCAGUGAUAAACUGGAGGAAGGUGGGGAUGACGUCAAGUCAUCAUGGCCCUUACGACCAGGGCUACACACGUGCUACAAUGGCAUAUACAAAGAGAAGCGACCUCGCGAGAGCAAGCGGACCUCAUAAAGUAUGUCGUAGUCCGGAUUGGAGUCUGCAACUCGACUCCAUGAAGUCGGAAUCGCUAGUAAUCGUAGAUCAGAAUGCUACGGUGAAUACGUUCCCGGGCCUUGUACACACCGCCCGUCACACCAUGGGAGUGGGUUGCAAAAGAAGUAGGUAGCUUAACCUUCGGGAGGGCGCUUACCACUUUGUGAUUCAUGACUGGGGUGAAGUCAUAACAAGG
rnacentral:rRNA from 1 species